AUUCCAUGAUAAAGACAUUCUAGGAUGUAGUGUUGAAAGCAUUCCCAUGCUUCUAGAACAGAUUUAUCAUGUUGCUAAUGAAAACAUGAUAUCUUUCCAUGAAGAGC
rnacentral:snoRNA from 1 species